UGGGGCAAGUAAUUAAUAAAUAUAAAUCAUCAAUUAUUUUCAGCUCAAAUAAUGAUCAUCUCAAUAAAAACUAAAAUUCAAAUAAAGUUUAGGCUGGUAAGUCUAACCUAAUGUUGGGGACCACCUACCGUGAUGGGAAAAAUGUGUAUUCCGGAUGCAAAUAAACACAUCUACAACCUCUCACAUCCACUCCAUGCGACAAAAAUUGAAGCCCACCAAUUAACUGCUUAGUUUUUACCUUCUGUUAGUGUGGACCUGCAAUAGAUAAAUGUGAGGGGCUAAAGAUGUUUCUUUACCUCCGGUAUGCACAGAAAAUUUUUCCCCUGAUAUAACACUGGAUAGCGCUGCAACAGCAGCGGCUCUUUGAGACCCUUGGCCUGAAUGAGAUUGUGUCUGUGUGCUGCUGGGUUUUGUCGAUGUAUUAAUGGCAGAGGACAAGGCAGCCAUUGCUGAAGCACUCUAAGUAUGCUCGCUGUCACCUGAGCUUGUGCACCUCCCAUCUGCCUGAAAAAAAAACCCACAUGACCUGGUGGUUAGCUGCUAAGAAAAAUUGAGAAGGGAGUUGUUACUGUUUUUUGAAACCGAGGGAAGGCAACUAUUUAGCAGUACUUGUUUUCCUUCAUAUGAUGGAUUUAGUGCAGAUGAAAGAGCUGCCAAUAGAGAUGAAAACGGUCGAAAAUGAUCGAAAAAACACUCGUAUUGAUUUUGGUUUCGUUUUAUAACAACGGUACGAAAACGAAAAUGUUACGGUCGAUAUACGGGAUCGAAAUUUCCGGUCAUUCGAAAACAGAAAAGUCGAAACGAAAAUAUGUCGAAAACGAUCGAAAUAUGAUAAACUUGUCGGUAAUUGACAAAACAAACAACAGACUGAAUUACUGAAUCCAAACAUUAAUAUAUAUAUAUAUAUAUAUAUAUAUAUAUAUAUAUUAAUUUCACAGUAGUCAAACAUUAAACCGUAGUGACAUUAUUUGAAUGGAAAAUUAUAUAUAUACUCGUGUCUGUAUGUCACACUCACAUACACGCAUACUGGUCGGUGGUGUAUUGGGUUGGUUGUAGGCUUUUGCUUUGGGGUGGGCUGCACGUUGGAGCUGAGGCCCGAGGCUAAUGUAUGGACUGGGGCAUUGGGAGUGGGAAGGCUAAAGACCGCUCAACCGCUCAAGGCUGCAGGUUGGGCUCAAAACCGGAUUGCUAAAAUGGUAUGAAAAACGAUACUUUCCCAAAACAAAACGGUAACCGUAAAAAUGAACGAAAAAUCAGUUAAAUCUUUUUCAAUACCGUUCUCAAAUACAAUCUGCUCGUUUUCGUUCCGAAACCGAAAAAUACCCAAAGUAAACGAAAACGGUCAGAAAAAAUGGUAUUCGGAAUAGGACGGGAUGAGAUUUUCUCAUACCGUUUUCAUCCCUAGCUGCCCAGGCUGAUGCCGUCGAGUAGGGAUGAAAGCGGUAAUCUGAACUGUUAGAACAAAUUUAAUAUUUUAAAAUAGAUAUGCAUAAAAUUUAUGUUGAUCUUUUCUUAUGUUAUUAAACACAUUAAUACACAUAUGAAUAAAAUAUUACACAAAUUGUUUUAUGUAUUAUUUGCUCCCUACAACACGAAACGUUGAAAAAGUUACCGAAUUUAUUUCUGAAUCCAUACCGAAGUUUAUAUCUAUUAUUUGAGAAAAUAUAGGAUGAAUUUGAGAUUUACCUUUUAUGAAUCUUUACAAGGUGGAUGUUAAAAAUAAGAAUACAAAUUUGUAUUGUAGAUUAUAUAUCCUAUUUAUUCGCAAUCAAUGAAAACGACUAAAAAACUGAUUACCGAAUAAAUAUCGUUUCCGACCGUUUUCAUCCCUACGUCGAGGGAAGGCGAGAAGAGGAAGUAGGGUUUGCUGGCUUCUCGGCGUUUCUACUUUUUCCAUGCAGAGUGAGGAUGGGAGGGAGUAGACUCAACGACAUGGGAGGGAGCAGACUUAACCCGAUUUGAUAGAAACCCGAUACAAACCCUCAGGUCCGUGACGCUGGCUUCUUCCCUGCCAUGCGUCAGCACCAACAUGAAGGGUUAGUUUUGUAGACACAAAACCGAAGUGGAUUGGAGGGGCUAAAAUCCCCCUCCUUAUUCAAUUUUGAAUAAGGAGACGAUUUUAGCUCCUCUAAUCCUCUCCAGUUUUUAGACUCUCAAACUAGUCCAAGAGAAGGUCAUGAAGCGCCGAAAGUCCUCCAACCCCCCCGCGACUUUUAAUAAACGGGAAUACUCAACACGCAGACAUCGUCAGUUAAUGUAAAGGUUGUUUGUUUCAUUGCAGGAUUAUAUAAUCCAAUUUAUAUGAUCGUAUUAGAGAUGUUUGUUUACACAUACUAUUAGUGUGUAAAAUGCUAAACAAUAAUCGAAAAUAAACAUCUAACAGUUUGCUUAUGCAUUAUCAUAAACUAGGUAUCUAUAAUUAUAUAAUGCACUUUGAUAUGGGUUGUUUGUUUCAGUGGCGGACGCAGAAUAAAAUUCUAGGUGGGGCCGACAGUACAAGAGACAAAUCACUAGACUAGAUCACCUGAUAAAUGUAGAUUAAUGAUAAUAACAUGAAUGUUAAAUGAUAAUGUCUAGUGUUUCCAAAAUAAUAUGAAUACCAAAAAACCAUUUUGGCUACCUAAAGGAGAGCUAGAGAGAGAAAAUAGGUGGACUGGCUGAGGACGAGGCGUUGAGACGGAACGUCGGAGCAGCUGCAUCGGCGUGUCGUUGUGGCGAGUCAUCGAAUUUGACGUGAGAUGACGUCGGUGAGACGACGACGGGUGGGAGGAGCGAGUGCAGGAGGCGAGGUAGCGGCGGAUGACGGUAACGACAAGCGACAACCAUUGUCGUGUUGCGACGGCGCGGUGGGACCCUAAUAAGUUAGCAAUGUUAGGUGACGCCACGGUCCCACCAACAGCUUGCACAUCUGCUGGUGCGGACUAGGAGGCAAAGUAUGAGCGUUGUGUGCAGGAUCCUGAUGAGGCGACGAGUUGAUGAGUGAUGAGAAGGCAAGGUGGCGCUACAGUGGGCGGGUUAGGUCACCAACUUAAUGGUUGUCACACCCGGUUUCGGGGCACCAAGACCCGGGCGCGAACAUAAUCACCAGGUGUGCUGGGACCAGGUCUCACACAUAUGAUGAAUCAUGGCACAAGAUCGAAUGUCACAACUUUACUAUAUAAUAGGAAUUCUAUACAAAAUAAAUAAUUGCAUAUAAGGAGACAACGGUCCAGCAACCCAAAGUUGACUGGGAGACGACGACCUAGACCUCUCACGAACACAUCACAGCAUCCUCCAAGCGCCUCAUCCAGCGGUACCUGUUCUUGACCUGUGGGGGGUGUGAGACAGCAAGAGUGAGCUCACAUACGUUCAUCGCUCAACAAGUUGUGGGGAAUAAUGUGCAUGAACUCGCCAAAGGUGGGAGCUCACGUGAAGUGUAAGGCUUACCAAAGAGGAUGGUUAGAGCUGAGCAUUGCUUUUAAAGUUGGUCAAAAUUUUAUUAGCAAUUACUAAGUAUAAGUAAAUACCAACCCAAUUAAGUAGUAGAACAAAAGUAACAACAUCACCUGCGAUGCAAUGCAUAUGACAAAUUGAAUUUAAGUUUCAUAAUUUAAUCAUCAGAGAGUCCUGAGCUGCUCAUGACCGUGAGCUCGGCUAGUAUACCAGUUUUACACUCUGCAGAGGUGGUACCCUUUACCCACAAGUCAUGUUACCCAUCUGCCAAGGGAUCGCGACUUCCCAUACACCUCUACCGAGGAGACGAGGCAGGGUAACACUACGAGGCCUUUACAAAGUUCCACUAGCUUCAGAAAACCCGCUACAGUUUAUAGGAAGCUCCAAUGCAGGGUUCUUGCCCGACCGCCAUCGCAGCAAAAUCAACCAAGGACCUCCCUACACUAACCACUCCCCUACUGCCCUUGCCCCUUUCGAGUAAGGUAGUCCUCCACUAGCUUUCCUAAUUAAUCAGCCAAGGGCGUCCAUAAACCCUUGUGGUGGCACGUGUUUCUCAAGUUAAGCUCUAUGUUCCAAUUAACAUUAAUGAUCUUAACAUGAACAUAAAUAGAAUAACAAAAUAACUGGAACAUAGACAUGAUAAAUAAUUAUCCCAAAUCCAUGUAAAGCAAUAGCAAACUACCCAAGUGAUUCAGGGGUAAACAAGGUAAUGAGAUAAACAAUCUAGGGUAACCUAUUGGGUCCCAUCAAAAUUAACAUAUGCAUGAAUAAAUGAUAUUAAAGAACAUUAUUGGGUAACAAAAGUGAAUCAAGGGCACAACUUGUCUGGGACUUGAGAUUUCAGGUACCAGGAUGAUCUUCAGGUGACUCGUGACCUCACGCUAGUCGUAGCAAUACAAAAAAACAGUGUAUAGACAAAAUUAACAUUACACCAAACAUAAGUACAAACUGAAUAAUAAUAAUCUACGUGUCGCUACGAGACUAACGCAACUUGAACGGAUCAAAUCGGAGUUAAAACGAAGCAUUUACGAAUUUCCUAAGGUUUUAUGUAUUUGAUACGAGAUUAAUUAAGAGAUAAAUUUUAAUACAGCUUUCAUGUCAAACCAGAGGUACUAUGUGAUAAACAAUAAUAUUAUAGAAUUAUAGGAAUUGGAAUGAAUCAAUUUGGACAUCAUAUGAAUUUUCUAUGAUUAAUACAAGUUCUAGCAUUUAGUUUUACACUAAAAAUCCAUUUCUAAUCUAAUUUCUCUGAUUUUCCAACUUUCUGGACUAGGCCUCAAUUACCUGAAAAGGCAGGGGCAUCGGGGUAACAUUUCUAAGACACAGGAAACAGUAGCCAUGGACUGCGGGUUCUAAUUUGCCUAAACCGAGGGGUUCUAGUGAAAUUGGGCCCGCGAAGGGGUAUCGUGAGAUUCUGGCCGUUCGAUCAGAAACUACAGGCUCCGAUUAGAUCACAAUUUUCUCCAAGCGGUACACCUCGCUAGCCGCCAGAUCUCGCAUCGACGGUUCUGAUUCCCUGAAACACUCGUCGCCCCGAACUCUAAUCCCAGUCGCCCAACUAAGAUCCAAUGGUUACAAACAUCUCCCCUUUCCCUACCAUCCGAGGCUGCUCACCCAGGAAUCAACGGCUAACACGCCGUCUUCUCCACGGCGCUAUCCGCCGCUGCGCACACCAGGCAGGCACAGCCCCGCCCACGGCCGCAGACGCCCCCACCGAUGCGCGCAGUAAUCACGCCACCACGUCAGACCUAGGUCGAGCGAUGGUGAUACCACGCCCCGCUACGCCGAGCCGAACGCCAACCCAGAUUAAGUCUAGCCGCUAAGGUGAGCUACGCCAGGAAGAAGAAUAAGGCGAGAACGUGGGGGUGUUCCUUACCGAGGGAUUGCGCGACGCAGGAGACCACAGCCGAAGUCUU
rnacentral:lncRNA from 1 species